UCGGGUUGUAAAGCAUUUUGUCCGGAAGAAAACCUUGUGGUUAAUACCCGUGGGGGAUGACGGUACCGGAAGAAUAAGCACCGGCAACUACGUGCCAGCAGCCGCGGUAAUACGUAGGGUGCAAGCGUUAAUCGGAAUUACUGGGCGUAAAGCGUGCGCAGGCGGUUCGCUAAGACAGAUGUGAAAUCCCCGGGCUUAACCUGGGAACUGCAUUUGUGACUGGCGGGCUAGAGUAUGGCAGAGGGGGGUAGAAUUCCACGUGUAGCAGUGAAAUGCGUAGAGAUGUGGAGGAAUACCGAUGGCGAAGGCAGCCCCCUGGGCCAAUACUGACGCUCAUGCACGAAAGCGUGGGGAGCAAACAGGAUUAGAUACCCUGGUAGUCCACGCCCUAAACGAUGUCAACUAGUUGUUGGGGAUUCAUUUCCUUAGUAACGUAGCUAACGCGUGAAGUUGACCGCCUGGGGAGUACGGUCGCAAGAUUAAAACUCAAAGGAAUUGACGGGGACCCGCACAAGCGGUGGAUGAUGUGGAUUAAUUCGAUGCAACGCGAAAAACCUUACCUACCCUUGACAUGUAUGGAACCUGGCUG
rnacentral:rRNA from 1 species